UGGGGAAUAUUGCACAAUGGGCGAAAGCCUGAUGCAGCAACGCCGCGUGAACGAUGAAGGUCUUCGGAUCGUAAAGUUCUGUUGCAGGGGAAGAUAAUGACGGUACCCUGUGAGGAAGCCCCGGCUAACUACGUGCCAGCAGCCGCGGUAAUACGUAGGGGGCUAGCGUUAUCCGGAUUUACUGGGCGUAAAGGGUGCGUAGGUGGUCCUUCAAGUCGGUGGUUAAAGGCUACGGCUCAACCGUAGUAAGCCGCCGAAACUGGAGGACUUGAGUGCAGGAGAGGAAAGUGGAAUUCCCAGUGUAGGGGUGAAAUGCGUAGAUAUUGGGAGGAACACCAGUAGCGAAGGCGGCUUUCUGGACUGCAACUGACACUGAGGCACGAAAGCGUGGGUAGCAAACAGGAUUAGAUACCCUGGUAGUCCACGCUGUAAACGAUGAGUACUAGGUGUCGGGGGUUACCCCCCUCGGUGCCGCAGCUAACGCAUUAAGUACUCCGCCUGGGGAGUACGCACGCAAGUGUG
rnacentral:rRNA from 1 species